GGGGAAUAUUGGACAAUGGGCGAAAGCCUGAUCCAGCCAUGCCGCGUGAGUGAUGAAGGCCUUAGGGUUGUAAAGCUCUUUCGCUAGGGAAGAUAAUGACGGUACCUAGAGAAGAAGCCCCGGCUAACUUCGUGCCAGCAGCCGCGGUAAUACGGGGGGGGCUAGCGUUGUUCGGAAUCACUGGGCGUAAAGCGCGCGUAGGCGGCUUAUCAAGUCAGGGGUGAAAUCCCAGAGCUUAACUCUGGAACUGCCUUUGAAACUGACAAGCUGGAAUGUGAGAGAGGAUAGCGGAAUUCCAAAUGUAGAGGUGAAAUUCGUAGAUAUUUGGAGGAACACCAGUGGCGAAGGCGGCUAUCUGGCUCACUAUUGACGCUCUGGCGCGAAAGCGUGGGGAUCAAAC
rnacentral:rRNA from 1 species